rnacentral:misc_RNA from 1 species
AAGUCGUAACAAGGUUUCCGUAGGUGAACCUGCGGAAGGAUCAUUAUAGAUUGGCCUCUGGCCGCAUCUCAUCCAACACAACACCUGGCGAACCGUCUUGGGCUCAGGCCCACGAUCAAAACAACGUGUAUGGGAUGUAUGCAAACGAAACGAAACAAAACUUUCAACAACGGAUCUCUUGGCUCUC